rnacentral:rRNA from 1 species
GACGAACGCUGGCGGCGUGCUUAACACAUGCAAGUCGAACGGAAAGGCCCUGCUUUUGUGGGGUGCUCGAGUGGCGAACGGGUGAGUAACACGUGAGUAACCUGCCCUUGACUUGGGAUAACUUCAGGAAACUGGGGCUAAUACCGGAUAGGAGCUCCUGCUGCAUGGUGGGGGUCGGAAAGUUUCGGCGGUUGGGGAUGGACUCGCGGCUUAUCAGCUUGUUGGUGGGGUAGUGGCUUACCAAGGCUUUGACGGGUAGCCGGCCUGAGAGGGUGACCGGCCACAUUGGGACUGAGAUACGGCCCAGACUCCUACGGGAGGCAGCAGUGGGGAAUAUUGCACAAUGGGCGGAAGCCUGAUGCAGCAACGCCGCGUGCGGGAUGACGGCCUUCGGGUUGUAAACCGCUUUCGCCUGUGACGAAGCGUGAGUGACGGUAAUGGGUAAAGAAGCACCGGCUAACUACGUG